rnacentral:rRNA from 1 species
ACGCUCGACACCUACGGGAGCAGCAGUGAGGAAUAUUGGUCAAUGGGCGCUAGCCUGAACCAGCCAAGUAGCGUGAAGGAUGAAGGCUCUAUGGGUCGUAAACUUCUUUUAUAUAAGAAUAAAGUGCAGUAUGUAUACUGUUUUGUAUGUAUUAUAUGAAUAAGGAUCGGCUAACUCCGUGCCAACAGCCGCGGUAAUCUGAGCGGGCGUGGCAAGC